UGUUAUCAAACAGGAACAGUGAGAUCUGGAAAUGUGGACAUAUCCUGCAGCUGAGAAGGAUGUGUGAGGAAUGUUCUUCUGAAUAAGCCACUCCCUGUUUGUUGACUGACGCCUGAAUGACUCUUGAAGGAUUUUGAAACAAGCUGUCUUGAAAUAUAGCUGCACAGAAAAAGACUGUGGACACAUUGAAAAGGGGCUAUGAAAUUAAUACAGCAUGAGCUCAGAAGUUCCCUGUGUGGUCUAGUCCGUUUGGAUCCUGAGUUGGUUGUUUCUGUUCAAAACAACAGAGCUGUUCAGGGAGUCUCAGAGAUGCCAUUGAAUUUUUGGAAUCUCUUUUUCUCCCCAAUUUGGAAUUCCACAUUUUCCUCUGACAAUUCUACAGGCUGCACUCAGGCACAGGCAUCCUCUGAAACCUAUAUCACACAUCAUUCACUUUGUCGUCAACCAGAUCACCAGCACAUUUAUCACACCGGUUAACUGCUGAAUAUAUGCAGCUGUGACAUACAGAUUAGAUGCUAUAAUGCAGAUACCCAGAUACCCAGCUAACUGAAACACACCCUCAUGGUGGUAAGGAUUUGAAGCCUUGACUGUAGGAUGCACCACCUCUCUACAUGAUAGUGCUUUACCUGGUCAUGCACCCUGGGGACCUGGAGAGGCUAUUCCAACAUCAUUAACAGCUUCAUGGGGACUCAUUGGCUCUUACAUACCCAAUGGCCUUGUUUCUACUAACCAAAGCUCACAACGGAUUGCUGGAGUUACAUCAGUCCAAAGAGAACACACCCCCAAGCUCAACCUUGCAAUACAGCCAGCACGACAACAAUGUAGGGGACAGGGAAGACUAUGGAGGCAGAGCCCCUCACCCCCGCCCCCCCUUUGCCUUGAUGUGCUGUAAACAAGAUUAAAAGGGCCAGCUGUGUGGAGUUAUUGUUGGUGUCAGUAGGAAGUGCUGAUAGCUUUUGCAGCUGAACAAAAGCUGCAUGAGAGAGCAAAGAGGAGCACCAGACACAGUGUCUCCAGCCUAGAUUUCUCCCACAAUCCUUGCUCCGCACUCCCAUUGUUCUGGCUGCACCCCUGGCUCCCUCAGCCAUGACCUGAGACAACGGACAGCGAGGACAACAGGAUGUUAAAAAAAUCUGCUGCUUGUAGAGAGAGGUGUCACACUAUCAGAGGGAGGGAGGGAGAGAAAGAGAGAGAGACUGCUUAGUAUAGUCAAGCAUAGCUAAACAUAGAGUAAUAAUACAGAUAUGACUCAGUGAGGAUGUGUUGUAUUAUCUUUCAGCUUUUUGUUUGUUUUGGCAGCCUUUGAAUUAUUAAAAUCUGAAGCAUGUGCAUUGUGGUUUGUGUUUGUCAUAUACAUGUGUGCCACAAAAUUCAAAUAGCUGGUUUUGAUCGUUGCAAUUCUGCUCCUCUCAGUUUACAGAUGAUUACAUUUCUCUUCCUGGUAUGCCAUGAGCUCUGUUUUCCUAUUUUAAAUGACUAGCACAUUUUGCAACCUCUGCAACAUUUUGAAUAAGCAACACAUCAGUUAUUGCAACUCUAACGCACUUCUGGAAAAAAAAAAUUAUUUCAAAAUGUACAGCUGCUGCUUGCAGUGGAUAUUUCCCCAUUUUAAUAUAUUGGAUUUGCUUGUCAAUGCAUUAUAUAUAAUGUAUACGGUAUAUCUAACAAAAGUAAAAUAAAUAAAUAAAUAAAUAAACACUGCAACCAGCUAACCUGACAGCCUGUGAAAUGUAUAAAAACUAGCAGACUUCAUAGAG